rnacentral:rRNA from 2 species
UGGUUGUCGUCAGCUCGUGUCGUGAGAUGUUGGGUUAAGUCCCGCAACGAGCGCAACCCUUGAUCUUAGUUGCCAGCAUUCAGUUGGGCACUCUAAGAUGACUGCCGGUGACAAACCGGAGGAAGGUGGGGAUGACGUCAAAUCAUCAUGCCCCUUAUGACCUGGGCUACACACGUGCUACAAUGGACGGUACAAAGGGCUGCAAGACCGCGAGGUUUAGCCAAUCCCAUAAAACCGUUCUCAGUUCGGAUUGUAGGCUGCAACUCGCCUACAUGAAGCUGGAAUCGCUAGUAAUCGCGGAUCAG